AGGACGAACGCUGGCGGCGUGCUUAACACAUGCAAGUCGAGCGGAAAGGCCCUUCGGGGUACUCGAGCGGCGAACGGGUGAGUAACACGUGAGGAACCUGCCCUGGACUUUGGGAUAACCCUCGGAAACGGGGGCUAAUACCGGAUACGACACGGUCUCGCAUGGGAUCCGUGUGGAAAGUUUUUCGGUCUGGGAUGGUCUCGCGGCCUAUCAGCUUGUUGGUGGGGUAAUGGCCUACCAAGGCGACGACGGGUAG
rnacentral:rRNA from 1 species